rnacentral:rRNA from 1 species
UAGGGAAUCUUCGGCAAUGGACGAAAGUCUGACCGAGCAACGCCGCGUGAGUGAAGAAGGUUUUCGGAUCGUAAAACUCUGUUGUUAGAGAAGAACAAGGACGUUAGUAACUGAACGUCCCCUGACGGUAUCUAACCAGAAAGCCACGGCUAACUACGUGCCAGCAGCCGCGGUGAUACGUAGGUGGCAAGCGUUGUCCGGAUUUAUUGGGCGUAAAGCGAGCGCAGGCGGUUUCUUAAGUCUGAUGUGAAAGCCCCCGGCUCAACCGGGGAGGGUCAUUGGAAACUGGGGGACUUGAGUGCAGAGGAGGAGAGUGGAAUUCCAUGUGUAGCGGUGAAGUGCGAAGAAAUAUGGAGGAAAACCAGUGGCGAAGGCGGCUCUCUGGUCUGUAACUGACGCUGAGGAUCGAAAGCGUGGGGAGCAAACAGA